rnacentral:rRNA from 1 species
UACGUAGGUGGCAAGCGUUGUCCGGAUUUAUUGGGCGUAAAGAGCGUGUAGGCGGCUUCACAGGUCCGCUGUGAAAACUCGAGGCUCAACCUCGAGCUGUCGGUGGAAACCGUGUGGCUAGAGUCCGGAAGAGGAGAGUGGAAUUCCCGGUGUAGCGGUGAAAUGCGCAGAUAUCGGGAAGAACACCCGUGGCGAAGGCGGCUCUCUGGGGCGGUACUGACGCUGAGACGCGAAAGCGUGGGGAGCGAACAGG